AAGCCUGCGAUACCUGUUGAUCACUCACUUUCAGGCAAACUGCACCAGAGACACUUUUCUAGAAAGAGGAGUGUAAAGAAGAUAGUGGUGGCCUGUACGUAACCCUGCGCCUGGCGGCCUGACAUCAUGAAAACGCCUGCCUGGUGGAAAUGUUCCAAAGCUCCAGAAAACUGCCUAGGACUGCCUGAUAUCAAGGAGGCGGUGGCACCCCCACCGCCUGGCAGGCCUGGCUCCGGGACGGGCUUCUCCGCUAGAGGCCGAGCUCGCCCCAGGGCGGGAAAGGAAGCCAGAAAGCUCGAGGCGCCAAGGACGGGAGCUUGGCGGGGGCGAUAGAGUCCGAGGCCGCGCAGCCGGCACCCGCCCGGAGCGCAAACGAAAGCGUGAGAGGGAGGGAGCGUCGGAGCCAACCUUUCCAUUUUCCUUUUGGGUUAAUGUUUUCUUCUCCAUUUUAUGACAUUUUACUCGAUUUUACCCGUUUGUAGUUGUAAAGUAAGGCGGUAUUUACUCUUUCUGGAAUUAAAUGAGAGAAAGUUAA